rnacentral:rRNA from 1 species
GACGAACGCUGGCGGCGUGCCUAAUACAUGCAAGUAGAACGCUGAAGAGAGGAGCUUGCUCUUCUUGGCUGAGUUGCGAACGGGUGAGUAACGCGUAGGUAACCUGCCUGGUAGCGGGGGAUAACUAUUGGAAACGAUAGCUAAUACCGCAUAAAAUUGAUUAUUGCAUGAUAAUUAAUUGAAAGAUGCAACUGCAUCACUACCAGAUGGACCUGCGUUGUAUUAGCUAGUUGGUGAGGUAACGGCUCACCAAGGCGACGAUACAUAGCCGACCUGAGAGGGUGAUCGGCCACACUGGGACUGAGACACGGCCCAGACUCCUACGGGAGGCAGCAGUAGGGAAUCUUCGGCAAUGGGGGGAACCCUGACCGAGCAACGCCGCGUGAGUGAAGAAGGUUUUCGGAUCGUAAAGCUCUGUUGUAAGAGAAGAACGGGUGUGAGAGUGGAAAGUUCACACUGUGACGGUAUCUUACCAGAAAGGGACGGCUAACUACGU